AGCUUUGCGCAGUGGCAGUAUCGUAGCCAAUGAGGUUUAGCCGAGGCGCGAUUAUUGCUAAUUGAAAACUUUUCCCAAUACUCUGCCAUGACAACUUGAAAUAUAGUCGGCGUUGGCAAUUUUUGGCAGUCUCUACGGAGA
rnacentral:snRNA from 1 species